UCUUAUUUAAUUUUAAGUGAAGAUUAUGUGUAGUUUAUAAGCCCAUUUAUCUUUAUAUUAUUAAUUGUGAUAAUAAUUUAAAUGUCUUCUAAUUUUUUUUAUUUUAUUAUUUUUAUUUUUCUAUGGGAUUUACGUCCAGCCAGAGUCAGCCAUGUUUCACUCUGCAAUUCACCACAUUGUGAACCAAUCACUUUACAUGCAUCUGCAAUCCACCACAUUUUGAACCAAUCACCUUACAUGCAUUUUUCUCUCAUGGAAUAAAUUUGCCAAUACUCAAAGAUCAGAUCAUUCACAGAAAAUACAAUUAUCAUCAGCUUUCUUUCCUCUCCAGAAAUUCUUUCAAAUCACAAGCAUCCCUUCAAGAAAGUUCUGUCCCAGAAAUCAAAAAUCUGAUACUCCAUACAUCACAAAAACAAAGAACACAGUCUGUAAGUAUAUAUAUUUCUCAAGUGUUUUGCCCAUUUCAUAAGAAAAGAUUGAAUUUUUGCAUAAGAAAAAGACUGAAUUUUGCAUAAGAAAAUAUUACAAUUUUUCCUUCACCUUUUCAAGAAAUUAGAAGGUUAGAAUGAGAUAGGGGUUUUGAGGUGAUUUUGGGGAGGGG
rnacentral:lncRNA from 1 species